rnacentral:lncRNA from 1 species
UCUGGUUUCUGGGACACCAUCAAUAUUGUUUCCUCACUGGGACUCCUCUUGGAGUAUCUGUUGUCACCCUGUGUCAUGAGGAUCCUGAAGCUUUAGAUUAAUAGGACUGGCCCUUUAAUGUCCCCCAACUGUUCUCAGAUGAUGGAGAUUUUGGAUCUGGGCCUGUGUGUGGGUCUGGGCCUGUGUGUGGGUCUGGGCCUGUGUGUGGGUCUGGGCCUGUGUGUGGAUCUGGGCCUGUGUGUGGGUCUGGGCCUGUGUGUGGGUCUGGGCCUGUGGUGGCCGAGCUGCUCAGCAGCCUGGCUCUCUUUUAGCUACACCACCAGGUGAUUCUCCAGCACUGCCUCAUCAAGGCCAUCCAAGGGCUCCAUCGGCAGAUGCAGGGUCAGCGCUCCUAUUCUCAUGCCUUCUGGCUGGCUCACUGCUACUCAUGCCUCCAGAGCCAGCUCCACUGAGCUGCCCAGUCAAGACACAGGGCACACCCUCCCAAGGGCUGCAGCCAGUGAGGGGCUGGGCCAGCUCUCCUGCACCCUUCCUUUGGGGUGGAGUGAGUCGCCUGUGCCUCCUCCACCAGGGCCCACUCUACUGUGCUGCAGGGGCUGCUCUCCUGAGUGCUACAGUCUAUGAGGGGCAGAGUUUUAAGUCAUUUUAAGCCUUUGGUUCUAUUAGUACUUCAAAACUUUUAAAAUAUUACAGUAUCACUAAUACUGAAAUGCGAUAUCAAAAACUUCCUAAUAAUUUCUUGGACAUAUCUUAACAAAUACGUUUUUAUAGUUAUAUACAA